rnacentral:snRNA from 1 species
GAAUCAGAGCUGAUUGUAACAUCUGUUACCCCUUUGGUUGCCAAGAAUGAUUCCAGUUAUCUGACAGAUGGGCAGAGGAUCCCUUACUUCCUACUCUCCCAUGUACAUUCUUCCUAUAGUUGGGCACUUAGCUGUAAAGAUAAUCUGCCUACAUAGAGAAGGACCUUUCUUUGGUCAAGAGUAUAUUCUUUCCCAUGGUUUAUUCAUCUUUGUAUCAGUAUUCUUUAAAUGUUUACUGAAUGACUGAAUAUUAUGAGUGAUAGAAAUGGCUAAUGUUUGUAUGUAUGAAUAGAGUUUCAUGGUUU